UACGUAGGGGGCAAGCGUUGUCCGGAUUCAUUGGGCGUAAAGGGCGUGUAGGCGGCCAGGUAGGUCGGUUGUGAAAACUGGAGGCUCAACCUUCAGAGGUCGACCGAAACCAUCUGGCUAGAGUCCGGGAGAGGAGAGUGGAAUUCCCAGUGUAGCGGUGAAAUGCGUAGAUACUGGGAGGAACACCAGUGGCGAAGGCGGCUACCUGGACCGGUUCUGACGCUGAGGCGCGAAAGCGUGGGUAGCAAACAGG
rnacentral:rRNA from 1 species